GACGAACGCUGGCGGCGUGCUUAACACAUGCAAGUCGAACGGAAAGGCCCGCUUGCGGGUACUCGAGUGGCGAACGGGUGAGUAACACGUGGGCAACCUGCCCCUAGCUUUGGGAUAACUCCCGGAAACGGGUGCUAAUACCGAAUACCGACCUCCUACCGCAUGGCAGGUGGUUGAAAGUUUUUCGGCUGGGGAUGGGCCCGCGGCCUAUCAGCUUGUUGGUGGGGUGAUGGCCUACCAAGGCGACGACGGGUAGCCGGCCUGAGAGGGCGACCGGCCACACUGGAACUGAGACACGGUCCAGACUCCUACGGGAGGCAGCAGUGGGGAAUAUUGCGCAAUGGGCGAAAGCCUGACGCAGCGACGCCGCGUGAGGGAUGACGGCCUUCGGGUUGUAAACCUCUUUCGACAGGGACGAACUUGACGGUACCUGUAGAAGAAGCACCGGCUAACUACGUGCCAGCCGCCGCCGUAACAC
rnacentral:rRNA from 1 species